GGUGGACGGUGUGCGUAGUGUCUGUCUACGUCUAGAGCCGUCUCCAGUCUGUGUCUUACAGGCUGGGAGACGGUUCUCACAUCACACUCACAGCCACAGAGCCAAUGGAGAUCAUAGUACUGGCCCAGUGACGUCUAAACGACCAUCCACCACUGGCCAGCCUCCAUAGUCUCCUACAAGA
ensembl:snoRNA